GAAGAAUAGUUUAAUUGGUAAAGUAUUAGCCUUCAAAAAUAGUUUUGAAUUUUCAAGUUUUUCUUU
rnacentral:tRNA from 1 species